AGGUCUUCAUUUGGAGGCUAUCCCCUUCAUCAAAGUGGGAGCUGCCAAGUGAAGGGCUGU
rnacentral:pre_miRNA from 1 species